AUUGAACGCUGGCGGCAUGCCUUACACAUGCAAGUCGAACGGUAACAGGUCUUCGGAUGCUGACGAGUGGCGAACGGGUGAGUAAUACAUCGGAACGUGCCUAGUAGUGGGGGAUAACUACUCGAAAGAGUGGCUAAUACAGCAUGAGAUCUACGGAUGAAAGCAGGGGAUAGCAAGACCUUGUGCUACUAGAGCGGCCGAUGGCAGAUUAGGUAGUUGGUGGGAUAAAAGCUUACAAAGCCGACGAUCUGUAGAGGGUCUGAGAGGACGAUCAGCCACACUGGGACUGAGACACGGCCCAGACUCCUACGGGAGGCAGCAGUGGGGAAUUUUGGACAAUGGGCGCAAGCCUGAUCCAGCAAUGCCGGGUGCAGGAUGAAGGCCUUCGGGUUGUAAACUGCUUUUGUACGGAACGAAAAGCCCUGGGUUAAUACCCUGGGGUCAUGACGGUACCGUAAGAAUAAGCACCGGCUAACUACGUGCCAGCAGCCGCAGUAAUAC
rnacentral:rRNA from 1 species